rnacentral:rRNA from 1 species
AAUAGCGUAUAUUAAAGUUGUUGCAGUUAAAAAGCUCGUAGUUGGACCUUGGGCCUGGACAGGCGGUCCGCCUCACGGCGUGUACUGUCUUGCUGGGCCUUUCCUCUUGGUGAUCUGUGGUUUCGGCCGCAGGGAACCAGGACCUUUACUUUGAAAAAAUUAGAGUGUUCAAAGCAGGCUUUACGCCAGAAUAUAUUAGCAUGGAAUAAUAAAAUAGGACGUGCGGUUCUAUUUUGUUGGUUUUUGGGAUCGCCGUAAUGAUUAAUAGGGACAGUCGGGGGCAUUAGUACUCACAUGCUAGAGGUGAAAUUCUUGGAUUUUGUGAAGACUAACUUCUGCGAAAGCAUUUGCCAAGGAUGUUUUCAUUAAUCAAGAACGAAGGUUAGGGUAUCGAAAACGAUUAGAUACCGUUGUAGUCUUAACAGUAAACUAUGCCGACUAGGGAUCGGUCGAUGUUAUUUUCUUGACUCGAUCGGCACUCUUACGAGAAAUCAAAGUUUUUGGGUUCUGGGGGGAGUAUGGUCGCA